UAUGGGUAUGGGUAUGGGGACAGGAGCCUUGGACUGUGACAGCACAGGGGUGAGGAAAAAAUGAGUGGCACCAAAUUCAGGACAGGGACCUUAGAGCAGGUGGUGAGUCCUGGGCAACCUGGCUGCUGUGUGCAGGUACCUGGGACAUCCUGUCAGAGGGGUCCCUGAAGCCUCUGGACCUGGCCCAGAGUUGGUGAGACUGGACACAGGGAGGGUGUGAAUUUGGGAGCUGUCGCGUCUUACCCACUUGGGUUGUGCCCAUGUCCCUGUGCAGAAGCCACUGUUUCCUGCAGCCGUGCUUUGUGCCCUCCCAGCAUCCUCGUCGGGUGUCCCUGCCUGUUCUCGGAGCCUCUCAGACUUCAGGUCCCCAGUCUCUCCCACCCACCUGCCCACCUGCCCACCUGGUUGCUGAUGUUUGGUAACAAGACAGAGAGAUCGUGGGACAGGACAGAGAGCACAGAAACAGCCCCGAAUACACACUCAUUUAGUUUAUAAUGAGGGGAGGUGUCCAGUCACUGAGGCAAGGAUCUAUAAUUGCCCAAAGAUGCUGAAAUGAUCGAUUAUUUUGUAGAAAAUGGUUAGGUCCUUCUUCAUGCUGCAUGCUAAAAUGAAUUCCAGAGAGAUUAUAGAGUUAAGCAAUUAAAACUCCCCGAAACAAUUGGUAUAAAUUUAUCUGAUGUUAGGAUGGGAAGGUCUUUCUAAGAACAAAGCCUGUAAAGAAACUGUACAAUAAACUAUUUGACCAAAGACGUACCCUUUAUACAUAACCAACCUGUGCAUGUUUAAAAGUCAAGUGAAACUAAAGAAUCGCAGCGCAUAUGACAAAGGCUAAUAUCCUUACUUCGUAUAGAAUUCCAGUAAGGCAGUGAGGCAAGCACGAAUUAAAUAGCUCCAGGACAGUGGCAAGGGGCAUGAACAGGCCCAAGACCAGACACAUGAACGUUGUUUAACGUCACUGAUAAUGGAAGAAGGGACUUAAAUAUUUCUGAGUUACAGUGGCUGAGAAAUGACCUACCAUGUGAUGAUACCCAGUGUCACUGAGGUUCUGGGGAAACCGUCACACACUGCUUGGCGGUGUAGAUUGGCGUAGCCUCUGGACGGAAAACAGGGCACAAUAUGUCAAGAAGCAUUACAAAUAAAUACUUAGUUGAAAUAAUCAGAUUUUUACACAAAUCUAUGCUAAAAAAUGUACAUGGCAAUACCAUUUAAAAGGGGAGACAAUUGGAAAAAGUACAGAUAACUGUGGCAAUCCAUGCAAGAGACCACUCUGGCCGUAAAAGGUUAUGUUUUAGAAAGAAUUCUCAGUAAACUUAGAGAAAAGUUGGUGACAGUUUGUUGGUUUUUAAAAAAAAAGCAC